UUGAGAUUAAUGCCUCUCGAC
rnacentral:siRNA from 1 species